UACGUAGGGGGCGAGCGUUGUCCGGAAUCAUUGGGCGUAAAGCGCGUGUAGGCGGCUCGUUAAGUCCGGUGUGAAACCUUGGGGCUCAACCCCAAGCCUGCACUGGAUACUGACGAGCUCGAGUCCGGGAGGGGAGAGCGGAAUUCCUAGUGUAGCGGUGAAAUGCGCAGAUAUUAGGAAGAACACCGGUGGCGAAGGCGGCUCUCUGGAACGGUACUGACGCUGAGGCACGAAAGCGUGGGGAGCAAACAGG
rnacentral:rRNA from 1 species